GUUGAGAAACUACACAUCGUACAUAAUUUUUACGAGCGCAUUUUGUGACGUUUCUGAACAUAAAAACGGCACGGUGUUCUUACACAAAAUUGGCGAACUACGUGAUUGCGAAUUUUCUACUCGCCGUGCGCGGCUUCGUCUUCGUUCUUUCUCCGACAAAAAUCGCAAAAAGCAUCAAGGCGCCAGUUUCAAAUCCUCAGUCUCUUCCUCACCAUUUCAUCUCUCAGAUGAACGAUUUAGACAGCAGAAAUGGGAAAUGCUACAUGAUUUGAGAUUUUUCAGAUUUUACUGAUUGCAGAAUGCAUUACUGUCGGUUUUCCUCCUGUUAAUAUCUUUUGCCGUGAACGGAACAUGAAGCCAAACAAUACUGGUUUGGAAACAUUUGGAACCGCGGCAAUACUCUUCCAAUCGCCAGAGAUUCGGCAUGGAUUUUCAGAUUCUGGAGGGAUUGUGUUCUGUCGACGAGGUAGACACACACUCUCUGAACUAUCUACCCAGCUUGACGCUCCGUUAGAUUCAAACGAACCAAGUCCGAGGAGAGAGAGAGAGAGAGAGAGCAGACAUGUAAAACUGCACCAGAGUUGGCGAAUUUAAGCGGCAAUGAGACAGUAAGUGGCUCUGCUUCUGCCAAAAAAUCUGCAAAAUCAAUUGAAGCUUCUCCUAGAAAGCCCGACUUUGAAGAACCCUGAAACAAAAAAAAAAAAGUUGAAAAGGUCCAAACUUUCAGACAACUUCGAAAGAAAACUCAGGGGAACAUUUAAGGACAUCACCAUCAUCAUCAACGACGAUCAUACUCACUGUUGCAACGACGAAAUGAUGUUGUCUUUAACUGGGGCCUUCUCAAGUUUGAAUGUCGGCUUCCCAACAUCGUCAGGAACCAAAGAUAUCAUCAAAGCAGGUUUCUUCAGCUUCGGCACCUGAAGAAUAUCAAAUGCCCACAAAAAAAAGGAAUCAUCAGACAAGGUGAAAUACCUGAGUUGCCUGAAACUGCAGCUUGAACACAGCUUUGAUCUUGUUCCUGUCGUUUCUCCAUGA